rnacentral:rRNA from 1 species
CACGUAGGGGGCGAGCGUUGUCCGGAUUUAUUGGGCGUAAAGAGCUCGUAGGCGGCUCGGUAAGUCGGGUGUGAAAACUCUAGGCUCAACCUAGAGACGCCACCCGAUACUGCUGUGGCUAGAGUCCGGUAGGGGAGCAUGGAAUUCCUGGUGUAGCGGUGAAAUGCGCAGAUAUCAGGAGGAACACCAGUGGCGAAGGCGGUGCUCUGGGGCCGGUACUGACGCUGGAGGAGCGAAAGCGUGGGGAGCAAACAGG